UUAUUCCUGCAUCAAUAUUCCCCAAAUCUUUGAUGCGGAUGGGAGUGAAAUUCUAACAAUUUGCCCUUAUUUAUCUGCUUAGAACCGAUGAGGACCAACAAUAAGUCGUACAAAAUUUUCUCUGAGAUAAUCAUCCAGCAACGAAUUAUCAAGAACCAUGAGAUUUUAAGGAUGACCAAGUUACUUCAGUUGUUUUCAAAAAUUGUUAAAAAUCAUGAAGGGCUUGAAAUGACAAAUUACAGAACUGAUCAACUUAAGUACCGUUUAAGGAAGGACUUUCCACAGUUAUGCUUCCCUCCCCUGCCCCUCCCCUGACGGUUUUUAACGGGCUGCCCAAGCCGUCGUACCGGGCUGGGUAAUAA